rnacentral:rRNA from 1 species
AGAGUUUGAUCAUGGCUCAGAACGAACGCUGGCGGCAUGCCUAACACAUGCAAGUCGAACGAGACCUUCGGGUCUAGUGGCGCACGGGUGCGUAACGCGUGGGAAUCUGCCCUUGGGUUCGGAAUAACUCGCCGAAAGGCGUGCUAAUACCGGAUGACGUCGAAAGACCAAAGAUUUAUCGCCCGAGGAUGAGCCCGCGUAGGAUUAGCUAGUUGGUGUGGUAAAGGCGCACCAAGGCGACGAUCCUUAGCUGGUCUGAGAGGAUGAUCAGCCACACUGGGACUGAGACACGGCCCAGACUCCUACGGGAGGCAGCAGUGGGGAAUAUUGGACAAUGGGCGAAAGCCUGAUCCAGCAAUGCCGCGUGAGUGAUGAAGGCCUUAGGGUUGUAGAGCUCUUUUACCCGGGAUGAUAAUGACAGUACCGGGAGAAUAAGCCCCGGCUAACUCCGUGCCAGCAGCCGCGGUAAUACGGAGGGGGCUAGCGUUGUUCGGAAUUACUGGGCGUAAAGCGCACGUAGGCGGCUUUGUAAGUCAGAGGUGAAAGCCUGGAGCUCAACUCCAGAACUGCCUUUGAGACUGCAUCGCUCGAAUCCAGGAGAGGUGAGUGGAAUUCCGAGUGUAGAGGUGAAAUUCGUAGAUAUUCGGAAGAACACCAGUGGCGAAGGCGGCUCACUGGACUGGUAUGACGCUGAGGGUGCGAAAGCGUGGGGGAGCAAACAGGAUUAGAUACCCUGGUAGUCCACGCCGUAAACGAUGAUAACUAGCUGUCCGGGUACUUGGUAUUUGGGUGGCGCAGCUAACGCAUUAAGUUAUCCGCCUGGGGAGUACGGUCGCAAGAUUAAAACUCAAAUGAAUUGACGG